rnacentral:lncRNA from 1 species
UUCUCUCAGGUCCGCCAGAGUAAAAAAUAGAAUCGUAGUGCCUUUCCUCUAAUUUCUUCUUCUCUCUCACUUCUUUUCCCUAAUCGGAUGCCGUAGAAAAGAAGCGAUGUUGGAUGAGAGAGGAAGUAUAGAGAGAAGAAUUCUUGAACCAAAACCCACAGAGAGAAGGAUUCUGGCACUACUGUGCGCCGACGUGCGGUGCAGUCCAGUCUCUCUCCCCUCUGCUGACUUUCUCUCUCUUCUUUGAAGAAGGUGAAGAGGCAGUGCAGAGAAACCAAG